rnacentral:sRNA from 1 species
AAUGGAGGAAGCCAGCAGCCAAUGAGCAGCGCCUCCAGGGGCGGGAGCAGAGAGACAAGGAAAUGCUGUCACCGCCGUUAACAAGCACGUGGAGGUUUGUUAAAGGUAGUGGGAGGCAUAAUUCUUAGUCAAUGAGAGACAGCAGUAGCCAAUCCAGAAUACCAGGGACAGGUGCGGUGCCGGCAAACUGACUUCAGGCUGUGGAUGUACGGCUGAGAGAGAAGUAGGAAACCCUGACAGUGCUCAUGCUGGCUUUGAUCCGGCUGGAGCAGCCUGUGGUGGAAAUGGCUCUAUAUAGCCUUGGUGUCUACCAGCAUCUGGAGUGGGAGCCACAAGAGCCAUGUAGACAGGCACCUAGCACUGUGCCAGCAACGUGGGGCUGACUGGCUCUGGGGAAGAGCUGUUGGCAGUGCUGGCGACAAGGAUAGAGUGUGAGGCCUGGUGACAGGAUGGCAGCGCAGAAGCCUCAGCGCUCAGGAGCUGCGGUCCUGGCUGCUCUGAGGGCUCUGCCACUGUAACUGUCACCAACAAUAGGACAAACAGAACUCUUGAACUGCUUUGGCACAGCGCACACCCUUCUGUGAGCACGCUCAUGGGAAUGUCACAUAAACUCAAGGACAUUUUGUGAAACAACUGCCUGUGGCCUUCGAAAGCAGCAAGGCCAUGACUGUCAAGGUAAAAAGUGCCGAUCCUCGAAGCCCUGGGUUAAACUCCAGCUUCAUGGUGGUGGGGGUGUGAGGAACUAUUCCUGAAAGAGAGAUUGACCAGAGACGUGUGACUACUGUACAUGAGGUGGACAGAGCCCAUGGGCAGUGCUGGAAUUACUAAGCAAAGCAUGCAGGAAACCUGAGUGGUGCCUCCCCAUUGGACACCAGCAUUUCACUAGUGAGUUUCAGGCUUGAUGGAUGCGAUGUGUACAGGGACUGUGCUUGUGUGGGAGAAUUAAAGCACUUGGAAGUGGGAGGACGACCAUGGUGGCAGUUUAUGCUUAAAUGAUCCAGGAAAAAAAAAUCCUUUGUAAAACUGUGAUUUUAAUUGGGGAUAUUUUUAAUUCCUGGUUACUGAAGACUGCUUUUAGUUAAGUGACAACAUAUAAACCUGCCAUCCCUCAAUACAUACAGAGGCCUCAUAUCUUCCCCAAUCUGUAGCAUGUUGCCAUGUACUCAUUCUUUCUGAGGUAGUAAACAGGCUCACUAACCGGGGGGCGGGGGGGGGGGCGGGAGGAGAGGACCUGUCCGUUUCUGUCUUCCCUUUUGCUAAGCUCUGACAGCCUGAGUCAGGUGGGGGGUCGCUCUCCUUGGGUGGGUGCUGGGUGCUAGGCACUGCUUGAUUUUUAUUACCAUGCUGUGUGGAUGUGUUGUCUACAUGUCUGUUAUCACAUGUGUGCAGAUGGAGACCACAAGAGGACGCUGAGUCCUCUGGGAGUGGAGUUACAGCUGGUUGACAACCAACAUGUGAGUGCUGGGAAUCAAACUUGGAGCCUCUGGAAAAAGCAGCCAGUUUCUGAACCAUGACCCAGCUCUCCAGCCCCAUGAUGAACAUUGCUCAAGUCUGCUAAAAUCACUGGGCCUGGUAACACACAUGUCAGUCCUGCCUCAGCCUUCUGAAUAUGGCUACAGGAGGAGUCUAGACUGAAGGGGAAAACGCAUACUCACAUGCCCACGUGCACACACAAUGAAUGAAGCACAAGAAACCAUCUCUCAGGGAGAAGCAGAGGUGGAGAGAAGCAAGGAUAGAGCUCACUUGUAAUCCCAGCACUGAGGCUGCAGCAGGAGGAUUCCAAGUUUGAAGCCAGCUUUGGCUGUGCAGUGAGGUAAAGGCCUACCUGGGACACAGGGAGACCCUGUCUCAAAAAAGGAAAAAGGUCUGGCUGCACCUGUUAUUUUUCUUGUCAUUAGCAGUGGCCAGCAUUUUUUUCCUCCUGAACUUUCUUACUUUACACCAAAUUCUAUGGUUCUGGCUCAAAUUCUCACUCUUGCCGUUAUAUGUAAUCUUACAAUAAAAAUACUUUAUUAUGAAAGUAUACAUAUCUAGCCUGUUAUGGCCCCAGAGCUACUCCAUAAGGAAAGAAAAAACAGACCAGUUUUCCCUGUUCCAUCUGCUUUCUACAGAGGGAACUAUGUCUACUUGGCCUAAGACCUGAAGAGAUCUCAGGGCAGAAGCCAUUUCCUGCCACCCCAAAUGAUGGUGACUCCAGCUUCCCAUCAGAUCUGCUGCUGAUCUGCCUCUGUUUCAAAAGCAAGCCAAAGGGGUCCCUGAAAGAUAAAGGGUAAAGAGAAACAGACAGGCUGGCCAGGAAGCAACACAGUGCCUUCAGUGGUCACCAGGCUCCAAGCCCGUGAAAUGCUGCAGAGCAAGGGAGAUCCUGCAGAGGCUGCCAACUGUGAAACCAGAGGACAGACGGCUCUUGCAAAGUGGACACGUAGAUUCUAGGACAUCACAGACACAGAUCUCUGCAGAAUCACUGUAGCCAUGAAGGGACAGCUGCAAAUAAAAGUAUGCAGUUGCAAAAACCAGUCCUGUAGGCACAGCCAGUUGCUUUUAAAGGUUCUAGAUGGAGUCAUCGGCAAAAAGCAGGCACCAUGCAUUUUGUUUCAACUGACACUGAAAUGCUCAUAGUAUUUUUGUGAACAAGAAAGAGGAAAUGAAGGCUGGGUGAUCAUCUUACUUGGGGCUAAGGGUGGUGGGUAUAAGCCAAGGUACCUCCAAGUCAGCCUGGGCUCAGGACCAGGGACCACAGGCAUCCUGGGUCUUUUUACUGACAUGUUUUCCUUCUGGUAAUUGUCAUCUUAUUUUAAUUAUUUACUUACUGAGUAUCACAUUAGUCUAGCCUCUGACUGCUGGAAUUUAAAGCAUGCAUGUUUAGUUAACAAAAACUAUUUAAGAAAAACUAAAAAAUUCAAUUAUAGGUAAGAAAAAUAACGUUCCUCAUAUAGUAUUCCCCACACUGGGCUAUAUUUGGAGACUUGGGCCCACUCUUAGGGGUAUUUCCAGUGAGAGACUUUCAAGCUUCUGACCAUGGUACUUACUCUGUAAGUCCAAAGAACAAAACCAUGCCACCUGUGUGGAUGUUCAAGAAGCCAGGUUUCUGUUUAACUCAAAGAUACCUUUGCAUGCCUCUGGAGGUGAUGUUUCCCUUUCUCUAAAAUUGUUUAACCAGAGACAAGGUGUAUAUUCUGUUGGAGUUGGGACAGAGAAGUGGGGUAAAAAGUUGGACUAAACUUUCUUUCAAAUGUUAUCCUUCUGAGAUGCAAGGGAGAUCAGGUGAGAGGGACCCUGCCUAGCAUGUACAAGGGCCUUGGUUACAUACCUAGCACGUAAAACAGAACAAACAAACUAAGCAUUUUCAGACCAUGUUGUGCUGAUAAAAGCAUAGGACAAGUUAGCUGCUGGCAGGGCCAGGAAGGCAGGCAGUCGGUCUCCUAGGAGGCUCUCAAGAUUCGUUUACUUAACAAAGCUUGGUGAAUGAUGAUGCCCUUCCUGCAUUAUGAAACACAGAGGCAUGCAGUGGAGCAGAGUAAAAGGAAGUGUAGCAAAGACAGACCAGGACUUCCUCACCGGCUUCCUAAUCACCUCUCUCCCUCUGUAGCCCUGGAUCAAUCAGUUUGGAAACCUGGUUGGGCUCAGAGUUCUCAACCUGUGGGUCAUGACCCCUCUGAAGGGGUGUCAAUUGGCCCUUUCAUAGGAGCCUCACACCAGAUAUUCUGCAUAUCAGAUAUGUGCAUUAUAAUCCAUAAUAGCAAAAUUACAGUUAUGAAGUGGCAACAAAAUAAUUUUAUGGUUAGCAAUCCCCACACUUAGGAACCAUGUCAACUGGUCACAGAACUAGGAAGGUUGAGAGCCACUGGGUCAGAGGGGAACUGCUCUCCCGCUGAGGCUGCGGGCUGCUGCUCCCGGCUGCAUGCCUCAUCUUAGUUGCAUUUUCCUCCCCAGCUGGCUCUCAAAAUACUUCUUUAGUCUAAAACCACUAUGGGUGUCUCCUACUGUCACUGAGAGCUUUGUGUGGUCCCUGGGCAAUCAAAUGGGAGAAACAUUUCCCUGCCACUGCAGAAUUGUAUUCUGGAAAGAGAAAGAGAAGGAAAGAGAGAAGUACUUCUGGUUGGUGUGUAAGUGGAUGUGGUUAAGGAGAGACACACCCGCAGAUUCUCCGAGCAGCCUCUCUUCGUCUGGAACCCUGUGUUUAGAAUUUGUAAUGUGGGGGUUGGGGAUUUAGCUCAGUGGUAGAGCGCUUGCCUAGCAAAUGCAAGGCCCUGGGUUCGGUCCCCAGCUCUGAAAAAAAGAAAAAGAAAAAGGAAAAAAAAAAAAAAAAAAGAAUUUGUAAUGUGGAUGCAAGUCAUGCUUGACCCUUCCUCCACACCACUGAAAGCACCGAGUGGAACAGAAAGCCGCAGAGGGGCUCACAUGUAAUUCUGCAAUUGCUUCACACCACUUCCACUACACUACACAGUUUUCUUUCUGUGUGAGGGCCGGACCCAGGGUCUCACAUAUGUACGGCAAAUGCUAUAUAUAUAUGUGAACUAUUUCCAGCUCAUCCAACAUUUUUUAAUAAUCCCACGGUAUGUGGUCGCUGAAACCUACAAUUUAGCAAUAUAGGUAAUAAGAAUUACUGUAUAUUUCUCCUUUUUUACAUUUAUUUAUUUUGUGUGUGUUUGAACACAUAUGAAAGUUACAGAACAAUUUGGAACCAGUUCUUUCCACCACGUGGGUUCUCCAGGUACUGAACCCUGGUUAUCAAGUUCGGCAGCAAUCACCUUAUCCUCCACUGAACCAUAUCUCACACCCUUACCAAAUAUUCUUGAAAGAAAAAGCAUGCACGUCUCUCAGCUGUAGAAUCUGGAUCUUAUUAUUAAUUCAUUUCCGCUAACACUCCCUAAGUCUCCAGGCUGAAGGCUGGCAGUCAUCUUUGAUACAAGCAAAAUGACCAGCACAUCUCGGCCCCAAGAAGUCCUGAGGGGCUGAAUAAGGUGGCAAGGAGGAAGGAGUAUCAGGUAACUGAGGGACUCGACAGAACCCAAAGCUGACAGAAAAGCACCUAAUUCCCAGACUCCUCAUAGCAUCUGCCUCCCUCAUAUCCCUCUAGUACAGCCUUCGCCCCCUGCUGUCCUCUCCAAACCUCCCUCCACUCUGCGGGCUGCUUCUACCAGGUCACCAGACCUCGCUCAUGGCUGCCCCCCUGCCAAUUCACUCCAUCACUAAAAUACUGACAUUCUUCAACAAGUGUCCCUUCUCACCCAAGAUCUCUUUCCUUAGGGGACUGUGUCUGUUCACAUGGCUUCAGACAGCUUCCACGGGUUCAUUCCCAGGUCUGUGUUCAGCCCAGCCCUCAGUGGCCCUUCCCUGGGUCGGCCAGACACUCCCAACCCAGAGCACUCCCUCCUGACCGGUUUGUUCUUCCCUCCCAGCCUCCAUGGCCCUCCCUUUGGAUCCCAGGAGCUUAUCUCUGCUGCCCUUCCCUUGCUUACGGCUCUUCUGUCCUUUCUAGCUGAUGCUUGGACCUUUAGGCCAGUUUUCAUUUUCCUCCCUAGCAAAAUUUAUUGACAGCCAUUUUGUAACAGGUAUAUCAUGUCUUUGGGAUCCUUUCUGGACUGAGAUGAAGUCAGGACUUUGCUAGCAUCCAGCACCCAUUACAGUGAGAGCAGGCCUAAGGUAUGGAUGGGGUAAGGACCUGCUCUUCUGAGUAAGCUGUGCUGGUCUUCACUGAACUGCUGAUACCAGCUCUGGUUCCUGGUACAGUUCUGGGAGAGGAGGAAGAAUAGUCUUUGGAAUGUGUGGUUGUAAUGUCAGCAGGACCCUGAGCAUUACCCUCCUGGUGGACAGUUGGGGCCUCGUCAUUCUUGGUACCAGUUUCUCUCCUUUCUGUUCGCUAAUCCAUGGCAUGGUCCUUGCUUAAAUGACCUCUCAGCUCAGGCAGAACUCCCACCCUCAGCCUCCAGGGCAGCUUUCAACCUCUGGCCCACUCUAUCCAGUCAGGUCACUUUGGGAAGACUAAACUCGGAGCCCUACCCAGCCUCUCCCCUGACUACACCUCCCCCUUAGUUUGCGGAAGCUCCACUGAUAAGCUGAGAGGAACCAAGCACCCAGCCUCCUCCCUCCUUGUCUGCCAUUCUCUCUCCUGAGCCUGAAGCCAGCACUGUCCCUUUGGCCAUUUAGAAUCCCUAAAGGUUGUUUCUCACUUACUCUCCAGAAGCAGAUGACCUUGUUGGGUGCCAGUGCGCACUCCUGUGGCACCCUUGGCAAAGCUGGCCUCACCAUAGAGUAGGGAGCUUAGGUGGCUCUAUGCUGGAGGGGUGGGUGGGCUUUCUCUGGCCGACAUUAACAGGAAGGACCCUGAGCCCUGGUUAUCAGGCUGUCCUAGGAUGGACUGGCUCAAAGUCCACACUUGGACCCUAGGCUACUGGGCCGUUAUUUUUUUUUUUUUAAAUCCUUCCCAGCUAUGGCUUCCUUAGCCCUCCACUAUGGUAUUUCCCUAGUAGGAAUUUCGCUCUGCACAAACAGUCCUUCUGGUGGCUAUUUUGGUCAGUCUGGCUGGGCCAGAAGCCAGUAAAGCAGUUCCUAAGGCCAGGUUUUCCCAGUUGCCUAGCCUGGAAGAAUUCAGAGCUGGUGAGGGAAAAGCAAGCCACGGCUGGUUUUAAAGAACAAAACUGGACCUCCAGGGAAACUGGUGAAUGAAUCAGCCUGGAUGGAGGGUGGAGGGAGCAAGCUGGGCUGGGCUGUCCGGAAAACUGAACACCCAGCAAUCUCACACAGGAAGAUGACGUUCACGCCUUUCAUUGCAGAACUCUGAGCAGAGGCUACUAAUGCCACAGGCCAAAAGGAGAGAACAGAUCUCUCCAUCCCAACCCUGACCCCACCACUCAGCCAUGACCCUGGGAUGUACAUAGGACUUUAUCAAGAAGUUACCCUUCCAGGGGUUGGGGAUUUAGCUAAGUGGUAGAGCGCUUGCCUAGCAAAUGCAAGGCCCUGGGUUCGGUCCCCAGCUCCGAAAAAAAGAAAAA